rnacentral:lncRNA from 1 species
GGAAACUGGAUGUUCUCCUAAAACAGACCUUGGGAGAAAGCGCUUUCACCUCCUCACCACAGACACUCUCGACUGUGGACUCAGGACACUAAGCCAGAAAGGUGACGAUUUCCUUCUUGAACCCGGCCUGCAUCAGCAGCUCAGACCCAGGGCUCCGGGUCCUUUGCUCUAUGUCCAGUGCUCUUUUUGCUCCCUCACACACUUAGCGAUGGCAGUGUUCUUAGUAUACUCAAAGAGCUUUGUAAUGAAUUAGAGCAGCCAUUCCCAACCUUCCUAGUGCUGCGGUCCUUUAAUACAGUUUCUUAAGUUGUGGCGAACCAUCCCCCCCACCCCCAACCAUAACAUUAUUCUUGCUGCUGCUGUUAUGAAUCGUAAUGAAACAUUUGAUCUGCAGUACAUCUGAUAUGUGAUUCCCGAGAAAGGGCCAUCAUAUUCCAAGGGAUCGGGACCCACAGCGUGAGAAGCCCUGAACUAGAGAUCCGCCUAAACUGAGAAACAACCUAGCACCUAUCCCAGCCCAUCAAUGUUGUAUAUGGCAACAGAUUCAAAAGCCCAGACUAAAACAUACUCACCAUCCAUGUUACCAGCUCUCACCAUGGGGCAGCAAUGUGGAUUUAGUAAGCAUAGCCCACGGGCACUCAUUUUGAAGACACUAGGAGAACUUCAAAGCCAGGUUUGUUCUUCUGCCUCUGGUGACAUUUUUAAAAUUUCAGCACUGUUUUUUUUUUUAAUUGAUUCGUCGGUCCUUAUAUUUGCUUUAGGAACCUGACAAGACUGACUAGCCAUCUCUAGCAUUCAGAUGUGAGCGAGCAGUCUCCUUCCUGCUGCUGCAGCUGCAAGCUGCUCCUGCCGCCCAUGCCUUCUCUACUGCCAUGCCUUCCCUACCACAAGGGCCAGAACUCUCACACUGAAAGCCAGAAUAAAUCCUUCCUCUCUUCGGUUGGUUGUUGUCAGGUAAUUGGUCCCAACCAUGGUAAAGCUUAGUGGAAAAGAAAAAAAAG